AACGAACGCUGGCGGCAGGCUUAACACAUGCAAGUCGAGCGCCCCGCAAGGGGAGCGGCAGACGGGUGAGUAACACGUGGGGAUCUGCCCAAUGGUACGGAAUAGCUCCGGGAGACUGGAAAUAAUACCGUAUGUGCCCGCAAGGGGAAAGAUUUAUCGCCAUUGGAUGAACCCGCGUCGGAUUAGCUAGUUGGUGAGGUAAAGGCUCACCAAGGCGACGAUCCGUAGCUGGUCUGAGAGGAUGAUCAGCCACACUGGGACUGAGACACGGCCCAGACUCCUACGGGAGGCAGCAGUGGGGAAUAUUGGACAAUGGGCGCAAGCCUGAUCCAGCCAUGCCGCGUGAGUGAUGAAGGCCUUAGGGUUGUAAAGCUCUUUCACCGAUGAAGAUAAUGACGGUAGUCGGAGAAGAAGCCCCGGCAAACUUCGUGCCAGCCGCCGCCGUAAGAC
rnacentral:rRNA from 1 species